CGCUUUCUCGAAUCCAGCACACAUUGUGCACGCUUAAACUCUAGGAUCAUGAGCCUACAGAAAAAGGAACCACGGACGCACAGGGAGGAGGCUGAUGCACGCACGGGGCCCACCCUUGGCCAAUGGCAGCUCCUGGAUCUCCCAUCAACGCGAGCUCCAGGAUUCAGCUCGAGCUGCGGCCGGGGCCGGGACAGAGGUCCACCUACAGUAGGCCCCAGCCAUGCAGCGGCAGGCGGGAGGAAGAGGAGUAGGGUGUAUCUGUACGCAAUGCAAGUCUUUUCUGCAAGCGGACAUUGGGAUGGGGUCUAAGGAGAUGGUUUGCUGCAUGCUGUCGUGCGGCUGUGUUGCAACUGAGCCUCUCCUUUUAAAAGCAAACAAACCCUACCGCUAUUUGCAAGUUACUGAAUUAGUUCAAGAAAACUGGCCGGGAGGUCGGCAGAGCCAUUUGCACUGGGUGGGGGAAAGUUCCUCUCUGAAAUGUAUUAAAUCUGCUGAGUUCUGAAAUCAAAUGCAACAAAACAUGAUUCUAAUUCGAACUGUGCCUGCCCUCCGAACUAUUGGAAAAUCUGAAGGUGGGGGUGGAUUAUCAUUACAGCCAUCGAAUUCCUGGCUACAACAUCUUCAACUUCUGCAGCGCCCCAAAAAUAGUCCUGGUGUCAUCCUUGCAAGACGUUGUGUCUGUUAACUAGCUCUGGACAUUUUUGCAGGAUAACCCUGAUAUCGACAACUCCUAAAAUACAAUCUGCUAAACUUAAUUUAAAAAAAAAUCUCCGAAGAGGGCGUGAGAAAUAGAAAGCCACCAGUCAAUUGUGUGUAGCUCUGAAUCAUAGAACCACAGGGUUAGAAGGGACCGCAAAGAUCAACUAGCCUAACCCCCAACUACCCUUGAUGAUGGAGGCUUGUGUAAUUAACAGCAGACAGCAAAAGCAUUGCAUCAUGUAUUGGAAGCUUGAGAGCUCUUGAUAUUGCAACAUCAAAAAAAAAAAGCAGUUGAUAAUUUUUGGAACUUUAUAAUUAUUUUAAUAGUACAGUGUGGCCCUUUAGCUGAGUAAAGACUGCUGGGGUAUCAUGAUUACCCCCAAAUAUUUAAUACUAUUAAGUGGACGAGAUUAGAACUUGAAAGAUCUACCAGACUAUAGUGUUAACUAAAAUUGGUGAAUAAAGAUGGUAGCUACUGGUUAGCAUAAACUUCUGUUAUUUAGUGAGGGGCUUUUUUUAGAUGGUUCCUAUUAGCAAAUCAUCAAAUGAUGAAAUAUUGUCUUCAGAUUAAAUUAAACCAUCUAUGUUUUAUCCUUGUCCGCUUGAGAGUGUUGAUAAAAGAAACAUGGCAAAGGAUUGUCUGCUAUGUUAUCAAGAGUUAUCUAAGAAUACUCGCAAUACAUUUCAAGUGGCUAAAGAAGGGUGCAGUGCCACUCAGGUUUGGCCUGUCUGCCCCAAAGGAGAUGGAGGAAGCAUGGGCCAAACCCUUGCGAUGACUCCAUGCACCAGGCUGCAACUUGCUUUGUGGCCUUUUGAAACUGGGGGUAGGGGGCACACUGCUGCCUCCCUAGUGGCCCUGAAUGUUAGAAAUGUUCUGCUUCAGCUGGGAUGGGGGCAAAGCGAGACUAUCCCCCCCCCCCGAAACUGGGACUGUUGGAACAUCUGCAGAUGGGCAGGUGUGCAAUAAUGAUAUUGGAGGUAGAACAUGUUGGGUUUUUGGAAAAGAGGUGGGUCACAUAAGGGGGAAUUUAGAAAACAAUUAGGUUUUUAUACAGCAUGGCAAUAUUAACAUAAAACUGUGAUCAUUAGAGGCCUGAUCCUCCAAAGUGCUGACUACCUUUUUCAAGGUUCUGAGCAUGCUCAACUGCCAUGGACCCCAACCUUCCUAGGUGCUGACCACCAUCUGAGAAGCCCUGGACACUAUUGACUCCAACUCACACCAAAGUCAAUGGGAACUGAGGGCGGUCAGCUCCUCUGAGAGUCAGGACUUCAGGACCCGUUUGCAAGCCCACUGAAGUGAAUAAAAAGCCUCCAAUUGGCUUAAAAUCAGUUCCUUAGAGACUUACCAUGCACUAUAUAGAGCUAAAUCCUCAGCACUUACUCUACAGCCCAUCAUUUGAUGUGUACCAUAAGACAUUUCUUAUUCCAAUAAAAAGAUUGUGUGUGGUGGGGGGAAGCUGUUAGAUAUUGACUGGGUUGGCAUUACCCCUUCCCCCAGUUCUAUCAUUUAUUGCGCAAAAGAUACUUCAAAAAAGGCUGACAAAACACAUUUACUAUGAUACUUUCUUGGUGUGUUCAUUUCUAUUCUUUUAGAAGAAGCUGAAAAUAAGAUUACAGUCUGUGAGCUCAUUGGGGCACCGUAGGCCCUGAUCCCCAAUCUGGGGAUCUAGACACUGCUAUAAUAUAAAUUAUAAAAAAAAUUAAUGAAAGUGGUAUAUAACCCUUAAACAGUAAAAUAAGCCUGCAGAGACAGUAAACUGACAGGCUCAACUGUUUUCGAUUAAAUGAACACACACAUAGGUUUGAUGGAAAUCUGAUUCCAAAAUACUAAUUUAAAAUUACUUAAUUCCUGUGAAUAAUAAAUUUUCAUAUAUGCAGCUUUCUAUCUGUCUUGGAUACUUACAUAGCGCCAUCAGCCUAGUACUGCAUAAUCUUUAAUGUAUUCAUCCUCACCACAACCCUGGAAGGUGAGGAAGUGCUAUUAUCUCAAUUUUAUAGAUGGGGAACUAAAACUAAGAUCCUCAAAGGUAUUUUAGGCUCCUACAGCCCCCUGAAGUCAAGUGACUUGUCCAAAGUCAGAGAGAAGUCUGUGGUAGAGCAGGGAAUUGAACACAGGUCUCAGAAGGCCUAAGCUGGUGUUCUAACCAUUGGUCCCUUCUGCCAUGCUAAAGCUUUCCAUUUUACAUUUUCACUAAUCCAGUCUUUGUUCUUCAACAUAUUGGGGGGAAAGUCCAUUUUGCUCCUGGUUCUAGCUGAUCACUGAAAAAUUCUGCAGAAUUUUCCAAAUGAGCGUAUACUUUUAUGUAUUGCAAGUUAUACAGAAAUAGCAGCUUACAAACAGAUGGGUUCAAACUAAUGACAGGAAUAAAACAGAAAUCAGAGACAGAGAUCCAGAAUAAUCAUUAUUUUCUUUCCUCAUUUGAUUGUAGUUUUUACAAUUUAAUAAAUAGAUUUUCAGUUUAAAUAGUACUUUGAAAACAGGAUUCAUUUUGAAAACUACAACCUACAGAGUUCAUAGUGAAAAUAGUUUUGAUUUAAUAAGUUAAAGAUGCGUUAUUGACAGAAAAUCAUUAUUAUUUUAUUUGUAUUGCAGUAGCACCUAGUCAGAGCUCAGUACCACGAGUUAGGCACUGUACAAAUGCGUACUAAAAAGACAGACCCUUCCCCGUUUGGUGCAAACCAUCAUCAUGCUUGUUAAACUACUAGGCCACAAACAUGGAAGAACAUACGUGUAAAGUAAUAUACAGAAACUUUUUUUAUACAGUCACAUUGUGUUAUUCAACUCUCUCUUCUUUAUGUAAAACCGACAGACACCUUUCUCAAGGGCAAUAAAUGACUCUGCAGUGGUACUGAGUGAUUACAGUCUCCAGUACUGAUGCAUCUUUCUUUCCAAAUCACAGUUCAGCCUAAAUAAUGUGUCACAUAAUUUUGGACCUAAUCCUGAACUCUUUGGUAGUCAUUUUGCUUGAGUAAGGAGUGUAGGAUCAGUCAAAUUUUGAAAAUUCUGUUAUAAUAUGAGAUACCUACUAUAUAUUUUUAUACAUGCACAUUUUUGUGUUUAUGACAAUAUACUCCCCAAACUUAGUCAGUUUGUUUACUUUUGGUACUAUUUUGCUACCACAUGAAAACAGCCCAUUGAGUACAGUGAUUUGUCUUGUGUUCACGUACUACAUACUGAAUCUGAAAUUUAAUAGUUGAGGUGAAAAUAUGGCUUGGAAGAUGUUAAUUGAAUUUAAUAGAAUAAGAUUAACACUCAGCAACUGCAGUAUACUUUAUAGAAAAGUUAUGACUCAGAGAAAAUGGGGGAGUAUAAUGAAAGACUACUCACGACUUUUAUUUAUACCACACUUGGAAUUCUUUCCUCUAUUGUUCUAUGUUGAACUUUUUUUCUCUGUGACCAAUAAAGUUUAAAAUUAAGACGAGACAUAAUAUUUCUCAAACUGCAAUAAUUAGUGAUCUGUUUAAGUACUAUGUUUGUUCCUUGCAUUUUUCUUUAUUAGAAAUAAGUCUGUAAAAUACGAGCAUCCUACUUUUCAGGCAAAAUUUCUCCUAACUUUGUGCAUGGGGACGGUGAUUGGGCAUGAAGAAUCUCAGCAUGCUAAUAUCUGACCUUUCAGUAUUAUUGCUUCUGGUACUGUGUAUGUUGAAAGAUGUCUGUCCGCAAAUCACUCCAAGAACUAGAGAAUGUAUGAGGCCUUUAUUUAUCAAAAUAGUGUAAUCCAUCAUAUGAGGUAGGUGUCCAAAUAAGGGGUAAGAAUGUGUGCCAGUGGAACGCUGAUCACUUUCCUAAGAUGUAAAGAGAACUUAAAAAUAUAAGAGAACAAAAGUUUUGCCAAUAUUUAUCUGUUUUUUCUAUGUUAUCAAAAUACUCCUACAAGCCCAAAUUAAAUCUCCUCUAAAUGUGAAAAUAUUAUACGCAAGUUGUAGAAUUCACUCUAGGGAAGACAGAAACUUUUCUAUGUAUUGAGUUUUACAAAAUCCACUUUUUAUUUUUAAACAUUUUCGCCAAGGAAGCACUAGUGAUUAAAAUGUUAAUACUAAUCUUCAGGUUUGAUUAUUAAAUUCCAAUGUUUACUUGUUGCUUUUUGUGUGCAUAGUGCUUCUGUCAGCAUGUGCUCGAGUCGAAGCAUUUUCUAGGUUUUCUAAACAAGUAAAUUAUAUGAUCAAGUUUAAUUUUUUUUUGCCUCCUGCUCCGCUGUUCAGAAAGUCUAAAGGUUUUGUAUAACAUCUAAUAAAUUCAUUAGCUUUAGCAUCA